rnacentral:rRNA from 1 species
AGUGAACGCUGGCGGUAGGCCUAACACAUGCAAGUCGAACGGCAGCACAGUAAGAGCUUGCUCUUACGGGUGGCGAGUGGCGGACGGGUGAGGAAUACAUCGGAAUCUACUUUUUCGUGGGGGAUAACGUAGGGAAACUUACGCUAAUACCGCAUACGACCUACGGGUGAAAGCAGGGGAUCUUCGGACCUUGCGCGAUUGAAUGAGCCGAUGUCGGAUUAGCUAGUUGGCGGGGUAAAGGCCCACCAAGGCGACGAUCCGUAGCUGGUCUGAGAGGAUGAUCAGCCACACUGGAACUGAGACACGGUCCAGACUCCUACGGGAGGCAGCAGUGGGGAAUAUUGGACAAUGGGCGCAAGCCUGAUCCAGCCAUACCGCGUGAGUGAAGAAGGCCCUCGGAUUGUAAAGCCCUUUUGUUGGGAAAGAAAAGCAGCAGGUUAAUACCCCGCUGUUCUGACGGUACCCAAAGAAUAAGCAACGGCUAACUUCGUG